rnacentral:rRNA from 1 species
GAUGAACGCUAGCGACAGGCCUAACACAUGCAAGUCGAGGGGCAGCAUGGUAUCAGCUUGCUGAUACCGAUGGCGACCGGCGCACGGGUGAGUAACGCGUAUGUAAUCUGCCUGUAACAGAGGGAUAACCCGGAGAAAUCCGGCCUAAUACCUCAUAGCACAUAUUAUUCGCAUGAGUUUUAUGUUAAAGAGACUCGGUUACAGAUGAACAUGCGUUCCAUUAGCUGGUUGGCGGGGUAACGGCCCACCAAGGCAACGAUGGAUAGGGGUUCUGAGAGGAAGGUCCCCCACACUGGUACUGAGACACGGACCAGACUCCUACGGGAGGCAGCAGUGAGGAAUAUUGGUCAAAUGGGCGAGAGC